rnacentral:rRNA from 1 species
GACGAGCGCUGGCGGCGUGCUUAACACAUGCAAGUCGAACGGAAGGGCCUCUUUCGGGGGGUACUCGAGUGGCGAACGGGUGAGUAACACGUGAGUAACCUGCCCUUGACUUUGGGAUAACUUCAGGAAACUGGGGCUAAUACCGGAUAGGAGCUCCUGCUGCAUGGUGGGGGUUGGAAAGUUUCGGCGGUUGGGGAUGGACUCGCGGCUUAUCAGCUUGUUGGUGGGGUAGUGGCUUACCAAGGCUUUGACGGGUAGCCGGCCUGAGAGGGUGACCGGCCACAUUGGGACUGAGAUACGGCCCAGACUCCUACGGGAGGCAGCAGGGGGGAAUAUUGCACAAGGGGUGGAAGCCUGAUGCAGCAACGCCGUGGGCGGGAGGACGGCCUUCGGGUUGUAAACCGCUUUCGCUCAUGACGAAGCUUUGUGUGACGGUAGUGGGUAAAGAAGCACCGGCUAACUACGUG